rnacentral:rRNA from 1 species
AUUUUUGCCGAAUUCCUUUUUAUUAAUUUUAAUUAAUUUUAUUUUAUUUUUUUUUUAUAUACUAAUUUUAUCAUUAUAACUAAUUUUUUAUUAUUAAAAAUUAUUUUUUUAUAUAAAUUUAAAUAUAAAUUUAAAUUUUAAAAUAAAUAAAAUUAUUUAUAAAAAAUUAUAAUUUAUAAAAAAUAUAAAUUUUAAAAUAUUUAAAUAAUUUAUUAAUAUUAUAAAAAUUUAAUUUAAAGCUUAUCCCUUAAAAUAUUUAAUUAAAUAUAUAAUUUUAUAUAACAAAUUUAAAAAAUUAUUAAAUUAAUUUAAAAUUAAAUUUUUUUCUAAAAAAACUAGAUAUUUUUAAAAACGAUUAACAUUUCAUUUCAAAUUAAUUAUUUAAAAUAAUUAUGUCACAUUAACUUUAAUAAUUAACUAUCUCUUUUAAAUUCGAGAUAUUUUUAUUUAAAAAUAUUUUAUUAAUAAACUCUGAUACACAAGAUACAAUAAAUUAAAUUUACUUAAAUAAUAAUCCAUAUUUAACUUUAUUUCAAAAUUCUUUCACAAUACUAUUAAACUAUAAAUUAAUAAAUUUUUUCUAAAAAAUACUUUAACCCCCAUUAAUUAUUUUUUAUAAUUAUUUUUAUUAUUUAUUUUAUUAUAUUAAUUUUCCCCCA